UUUUAAUCAUUUACACUACCAUUAUACUUUAUUCAUGCCUCCAGGCCUCUGCUUCUCUCUUCCCCUUUCUUAGGGUUUGAAAGGUGGAUCGGAGACAGAGCCAUGGAAUAUUUUCACACCUGGCUGAAACCAGGUCAGGCAGCUAAUGUGUUUUCCAAGCUCAGCGGCUGCUUGUUGGAGACAGAGAAACACUGCUCAGCUAUGGAAACGCUGCAGGCACAAACCCCAACACGAGUCACGUAUGUAGACCGUGAUAUUAUGCAAAGUGCAAAAAAAAAUGGAGCAUCCUUACACUUGUAUCCUUGGUGAUGGUUAACACUGUUCUCAUACCACGCCCCCUGGAGACGCCGGGUCGCCGGCGCGCGCCCAUGACGUCAGCGGGUCUCCCGGAGAGCGGCGGUCGUCUGCACAUGAGGUGUCACUGCUGGGAAAUCCUGUUGAUAUUAGAAAUUGAAAACCUGAUAAAAACAACUUUUUAUGACUGUGGAAAUGCAGAAGUGGCCAUGACUCGGGCUGUGAACUGAAGCGGCAGAGCCCCCUUAUGAGUACUUCAUACUGGUGGUAAACGAAUGUUCUAUUGGAGAAUCGUGAUCACACAUAACUGAGACUUGUCUAAGCUACUUCUCGUUUGGAAAUGAUAUAGUGUAAUCAGGACAGCAUCCUUAAGAGCUGGUUUUGGGCAGGAGCCAAGAAGCAGUGUAUGCAUUAUGUCUUCCAGGAAAAUGCAUCUGUUCAGGUGUGAGGAUUAUAGGAGUAGCAUCUCUCCCUGCCUUGUCUAAUAUUUUAAAUGUGUGACAUUUAGGUUUGAUCUAAGAACACAAUAAGAUAUUUGCCAUAGGUUAGUGCAGUUACUUUAGCCAUAUAAAUGAAAAUGAAUUGAACUAUAUUAUGGGAGAUUGUAUUGUAUACCUGUCAGGCCCAGAAUAAGGUAUGUGGGGGCCCCAGGGGGAUCUAACUUGUGGGGGCCACUAUCAAUAAAAUUGUCAAUAAGAUAUGUUUCAAUGUUAUUAAAAAGUAUAAUGUAGUAAAUACUCCCAGUACAACAAAUGUGUUACACAUACUGUAAUGCCCCCAAUUCAUAUUAUGCCACACAGGAACCUCAGUUCACAUAUGUUACAGUGCCAGAACCACCUCAACAGCAUUGUAGUUCCUGAGCAAGCAAUGCAGCCAAACGCACACACCCAUUUAUGGGAACCAAUAAAACAAAUCAUAACAUGCCCCUCUUGCGGUCCCACAUCAUCUCUUAACAUGCUUCCAUACAGUGAAUGGCUGCCAGCACUCUGAUUGGUGGAUAGCUCCAAUAUAUUUAUAUUACCCAUACUAACCUGCACCAAACACACUACCCAAUAUUACACCUACUAAGAGCCAACCUACAAACAUCCUUUCUAGCUGUUGCUGUAGCUAACUGUUGUUGCUCUACCCAUCCCUGCGCCAACAAAUAUAAUGUAGGGGGUGAAUGACUCUAUUUCAGAUUCACUCUGCUAUAGUCACAAGCAGAACUUCUUACAAGCAAAAAAACAUCUAGAUCAAAAAAAGUCUGAAUUUACCAA